rnacentral:tRNA from 1 species
GGAGAGUUGGCAGAGUGGCUGAACGCACUUCCUUGCUAAGGAAGCAACGGACUUAAUCGUUCGUUCGCGGGUUCGAAUCCCGUGCUCUCCU